CCUAAGUUGGUAGUAUAGAUCCAGAAGUCUUUGGAAAAAUUUGCACUUUGUAAUUAUAGCCCUUGGAGAGAAUGAGAUCCCUCCAGGUACUUAGUCUCUUGAGAAUUACAUCAAACAAGCCAAUUCCUAGACAAGAAUUUUCUCAGCAUAUAUUUAGAGGUGAACAAUAAAUAUAUUUGCUAUUGAAAGUAUAAAGAACUUCACGAGAAAUGGAGUAAGGAAAAAUUGAGAUGGAAAUAUAAGGAAUCCACACCCAGCAUGGAGCCCAACAUGGGGCAUGAACUCAUGACCUGAAGAUCAAGACCUAAGCUAAGAUCAAGAUUCCAGAGCUUAACCAACUGAACCACUCAGGUGCCCCUAAAUUUAUAAUCUUAAUAAAUAUUAAAGACUUUUUUCUUUUCAAAUUUUUUAUUUAAAUUCUAGUUAGUUAACAGACAGUGCAAUAUUGCACUGUCAGGAAUAGAAUUCACUGAUUCAUCACUUACAUACAACACCCAGCACUCAUCAUAACAAGUGUGUUUC